CACUUACAGACUCUUGGCAGUAACUAAUACACCUGUAGCAAAAGUGGUUGAAGUUCCUUGGGCUACUCUGUUGAAAUAGGAACUUCUAGUUAAGACCAUGUCUUCUUUGUUCACCAUUGAACAGUACUCAGCUAAGCACAGGGCACGUAUUGAGUACUCAACCAGUAUGUGAGGAAAGACUGGUUAGAGGUAUAAAUGAAUGAAUGAAUGUUGCCAUCCCAUUAUUGAUGCUCUCCAAACUCUUCACUACAAAUGGAGUCAGUUCCAGAAUCCAAAGCCAGCAUUCUUCUCCUGAUUAUGACAUGCACCAAAGAGGCAUCCCCUGAGCUGGAUGUUUAAAUCAGAGCCCACAGCUGAAGUGAGCACCAAGAUGUACUGAGCAAGUGUGGACUCUUACUGAUCCAAGUGGCAGCAGCAGCUUCAAGGGUGAACUGUUGCUCAGCAGAGAAAUGGCAGGAAAAAAUAGGACAUUCGCUUCUGGCCUUAGUCCUGUUGGAACACAAAAAGUGGAGUCUGCAAUGCUGUUGGAGGCUCAACAGGUCAAAUACAUCAGUAAUGGGCAUGGUAUGGCUGGGGUCAUACGGAGACAGUCCUUAGAGCACUGAAAAUGUGAUCAUCCUGAAUCCCAUAAGGAUCCUUAUGAGGUUAGAAGGGACAAUGUGGCUCCACUUUGAUGACUGACAGCAGUUGCUUUGGUUCUUCCCCAAACCAUCAUGGACCAGUUGGACUCUGAGAAGAAAAGUUUCUGAUCUUUAGUUCAUUCUUCCAACUCUCUAGAAAGCAGGAAAACUGAGAAUGAAAAAUUCUAAAUUACUCAGGACUCAUGGGUUGCCAAUAGAAGAAAUACAUCUUAAACUAGCUUAAGCCUGAAAGGGAAAUGUAUUUGUUCAUGUAACUGAACCAUAACGAAGGAUGGUGGACUGAGGGACCUGAAAACACCCUCAGGACUCCCUCCCUCUCCUUUGUGCUCCUGUCUGAUGCCGUCUUCCCAGACCUGCUCACUCUCCAUAAGGUGGGGAUGUGGCCAUCAGCAACGUGUACUUCCCCGAAGCUUGUGACCUGAGUAGAUAGGCAUCUCCCAACCCACAAGGAUUGAAAAGUUCCUCUAGGAAUUAUGUGGAUUGGCCCAUUCACUAUGACAUGUUCCCCCUAAGCAGCUAAAGGAACUGGGUCUGUUACCAGAAGAGGUGGGAGAGGGGUGCUAGGCAGAUUGAACAACAGCCACUACAACAUCUGAGGAGGAGACCUCCGUGAAGGCCACCAAGUCUGCUAGCAGAUAUUUCCUCCCUCGGAUCUCUCUCCCUGUCCUCACAGUCUCAUAAGUGAGGAUUAAAUACUACAUGUGGCCUAGGAGAUCUUAGACCCUCCACACGAAGAUAUAGUAACAAUCAACAUCCUAGUGUUCUGGCAGAGAAAAAAUCAGAAAGAAUCGUUUGCCUGAUUUUUCCAUCAAUACCAAUAAUUAAUUAGAGAUGAAAUUUGUGAUGGACUCAGAGAAUUAGAGAAGAUCUAAGGGAAUCUAGAUGAUUUCCUACCCCUAACCAGAGCCUCACAAAAAAGGGUGAAGAUCUAUGGCCGUCUUGCGUUUGGUGUGAGGCUGGACAAGGAAGUUCCUAAGGUCCUUUAGACUCUGUGAGAUCAUGAGUCCGUAAAACCCUUCCAACUUGAAAUUAGUUGAUUCCUUCCUUAAAUUUUCUGGGACAUUCCCCCACUCCCUCCACUCUUAUUAGCUGAUUUUACUGACCAAUAGGCCUUGAAGUUGGGCGUUCCAUCUAGAUGUCUCACAUCAACUCACCUUUUGCAAAUUAAGCCCAUACCCUUAAAGAGGGGAAUUCUCAAGCCAUUAGAAACUAGAGAGUCAGCUGGGCAUGGUGGCUCACGCCUGUAAUCCCAGAACUUUGGGAGGCCAAGGUGGGUGGAUCACUUGAGGUCAGGAGUUCGAGUCCAGCCUGACCAACAUGGCGAAACCCCGUCUCUACUAAAAAUACAAAAAUUAGCCAGGGGUGAUGGCAUGCACCUGUAAUCCCAGCUACUCAGGAGGCUGAGGCAGGAGAAUUGCUUGAACCUGGGAGGCGGAGGUUGCAGUGAGCCAAGUUUGCACCACAGCACUCCAGCCUGGGCAACAGAGUGAGACUCAGUUUCAAAAAACAAAAGAACAAACAAACAAAAACUAGAGGGUCUCCUCUUAGUUCUUAAACCCUCUUAGUCAACAUUUGUGAGCCUCUUUUCUGUAUGUUUUGGCAUCUUUAUUCCUUUCCUUCGUGUCUUGACCAAAUUCACCAGAUCAUGACUCAGAACAAAAUCCUGAGGUUGAAU
rnacentral:lncRNA from 1 species